GCACUAGCAUCAGACUGGAAUGUGCAGGGGAAUCAGACCUAACAGGUCCUCCUGCCAGAAUGGAAUAAGCCCUACCUUCUGGUUUCCACAAACGAAAACAACUUAUGAGGAGGAGGAGCCAUCAAUGGACAUAAAAAGAAGUUGUCGCCUUUGCCCGGUCCUUUCUCCGCACGUCUGCUGGAAGCAUUCAGGGACCCUGAGCUGUCUCAAUGUUGGAGACACCAUGGAUCCCCCCUCUUUCUGCUUGCUCUCUCUCUUUCUCCUUCUGAUGUGGACGUAGUGGAGUUCCCUCAAUGACUAGGAGAGGGAACUGGGACCUCGUCUGCUCCGAUCUGUGAUGUCAGCGAGGGAUUCUGAUUGGUCGAAGCUCCCUGUCAAGGGAUUCUGAUUGGUCGAGACUCCCAUCGUCGGCUCCUGGUUGGGAGGGAUGGGUCUCAGUGACAGCGGCCGGGUCGUCUCCUCGACCUGCCAACCGCGCAUCAGACAUAAAGAAGCAACUAAACAAACAAAGAAAGCCACUUCCCAUACAGAGUAAAAUUUUCAGUAAAUUUUGCACUUAGAUAGUUGAUUUUAAUGCUCAUAGUGUUCCUUCUGCCUAAGAGUUGAAUUAACACUUAAAAAUUUACUGUGUUUUCCCCUUCCCUUCUGGUGGCUUCUGGUUGUCUGUUUGCUAGGUUGGGUAGGUCUAGGGGUUGGACUGUACCAGGAACCUUUAAACCCAAAGUGCUGUACUGCAAUAUAAAACAUAAAACUCAAUAAAAAGAGCAAAAUCUUGUAA